AUGAACGCUGGCGGCGUGCUUAACCCCUGCAAGUCGAACGGAAAGGCUCCUGCUUGCCGGGGUACUCGAGUGGCGAACGGGUGAGUAACACGUGGGUGAUCUGCCCUGCACUUCGGGAUAAGCCUGGGAAACUGGGUCUAAUACCGGAUAGGACCACAUUUUGGAUGGUGUGGUGGAAAGUUUUUCGGUGUGGGAUGAGCUCGCGGCCUAUCAGCUUGUUGGUGGGGUAAUGGCCUACCAAGGCGUCGACGGGUAGCCGGCCUGAGAGGGUGUACGGCCACAUUGGGACUGAGAUACGGCCCAGACUCCUACGGGAGGCAGCAGUGGGGAAUAUUGCACAAUGGGCGCAAGCCUGAUGCAGCGACGCCGCGUGGGGGAUGACGGCCUUCGGGUUGUAAACUCCUUUCGCUAGGGACGAAGCGUUUUUGUGACGGUACCUGGAGAAGAAGCACCGGCUAACUACGUG
rnacentral:rRNA from 1 species